rnacentral:rRNA from 1 species
AGUGAACGCUGGCGGUAGGCCUAACACAUGCAAGUCGAACGGCAGCACAGUAAGAGCUUGCUCUUACGGGUGGCGAGUGGCGGACGGGUGAGGAAUACAUCGGAAUCUACUUUUUCGUGGGGGAUAACGUAGGGAAACUUACGCUAAUACCGCAUACGACCUACGGGUGAAAGCAGGGGAUCUUCGGACCUUGCGCGAUUGAAUGAGCCGAUGUCGGAUUAGCUAGUUGGCGGGGUAAAGGCCCACCAAGGCGACGAUCCGUAGCUGGUCUGAGAGGAUGAAUCGGCAAACUGGAACCGAGAAAAGGUCCAGACCCCCAAGGGAGGCAGGAGUGGGGAAUAUUGGAACAUGGGGGGAAGCCUGAUCCCGGCAUAACGGGGUGGGUAAGAAGGGCUUCGGGUUGUUAAGGCCCUUUUGUUGGAAAGAAAAGCAGCAGGUUAAUACCCCGCUGUUCUGACGGUACCCAAAGAAUAAGCACCGGCUAACUUCGUG